rnacentral:rRNA from 1 species
AGUGAACGCUGGCGGUAGGCCUAACACAUGCAAGUCGAACGGCAGCACAGUAAGAGCUUGCUCUUACGGGUGGCGAGUGGCGGACGGGUGAGGAAUACAUCGGAAUCUACUUUUUCGUGGGGGAUAACGUAGGGAAACUUACGCUAAUACCGCAUACGACCUACGGGUGAAAGCAGGGGAUCUUCGGACCUUGCGCGAUUGAAUGAGCCGAUGUCGGAUUAGCUAGUUGGCGGGGUAAAGGCCCACCAAGGCGACGAUCCGUGGCUGGUCUGAGAGGAUGAUCAGCCACACUGGAACUGAGACACGGUCCAGACUCCUACGGGAGGCAGCAGUGGGGAAUAUUGGACAAUGGGCGCAAGCCUGAUCCAGCCAUACCGCGUGGGUGAAGAAGGCCUUCGGAUUGUAAAGCCCUUUUGUUGGGAAAGAAAAGCAGCAGGUUAAUACCCCGCUGUUCUGACGGUACCCAAAGAAUAAGCACCGGCUAACUUCGUG